rnacentral:rRNA from 1 species
CGGUUGUCCCGGUUUAAGCAUGUAGGCUGGUUAUCCAGGCAAAUCCGGAUAAUCAAGGCUGAGGUGUGAUGACGAGGCACUACGGUGCUGAAGUAACAAAUGCCCUGCUUCCAGGAAAAGCCUCUAAGCAUCAGGUAACAUCAAAUCGUACCCCAAACCGACACAGGUGGUCAGGUAGAGAAUACCAAGGCGCUUGAGAGAACUCGGGUGAAGGA